AGAUGGGAGGAGGAUCUGGCUGCAACAUCUGCUACCCCGUUGAUCACCAAGGUUGAUUCGCCUGAUCUGGCGGGCCACGUGGUGUCCUUUCCCUCCCUCACCUCUUCCUCUGUGUCCCUUCCAAAGCUGCGCACUCAAUCAAAGAAGACAACUUUCCCCCAUAGAGGAGGACCAUUCCUUGGUCCCCUUCGAGAAAGGAACUCCAAUCGAAAGCCUGCUCAUGACCUCUAAAGAGCAUUC
rnacentral:sRNA from 1 species